AUCGCUUCUCGGCCUUUUGGCUAAGAUCAAGUGUAGUAUCUGUUCUUAUCAGUAUCUUGUCGGACGGUUGAGACUGCGAUCGGCCUCUUGGAGGUUUCCUGACUCGAGAUCCCUU
rnacentral:snRNA from 1 species